rnacentral:rRNA from 1 species
UACCAGCAUCCCGAGUGGUCGGGACGAUUAUUGGGCCUAAAGCAUCCGUAGCCGGUUCUACAAGUCUUCCGUUAAAUCCACCUGCUUAACAGAUGGGCUGCGGAGGAUACUAUAGAGCUAGGAGGCGGGAGAGGCAAGCGGUACUUAGUGGGUAGGGGUAAAAUCCGUUGAUCCAUUGAAGACCACCAGUGGCGAAGGCGGCUUGCCAGAACGCGCUCGACGGUGAGGGAUGAAAGCUGGGGGAGCAAACCGG